rnacentral:rRNA from 1 species
GUGCCAGCCGCCGCGGUAAUACAGAGGUCCCAAGCGUUGUUCGGAUUCACUGGGCGUAAAGGGUGCGUAGGUGGUGAGGAAAGUCUGAUGUGAAAGCUCGGAGCUUAACUCCGAAAUGGCAUUGGAAACUACCUUGCUGGAGGGUUGGAGGGGGGACUGGAAUACUUGGUGUAGCAGUGAAAUGCGUAGAUAUCAAGUGGAACACCAGUGGCGAAGGCGAGUCCCUGGACAACACCUGACACUGAGGCACGAAAGCUAGGGGAGCAAACGGGAUUAGAUACCCCAGUAGUCC